rnacentral:rRNA from 1 species
GAUGAACGCUGGCGGCGUGCCUAAUACAUGCAAGUCGAGCGAACGGACGAGAAGCUUGCUUCUUUGAUGUUAGCGGCGGACGGGUGAGUAACACGUGGAUAACCUACCUAUAAGACUGGGAUAACUUCGGGAAACCGGCUCUAAUACCGGAUAAUAUUUUGAACCGCAUGGUUCAAAAGUGAAAGACGGUCUUGCUGUCACUUAUAGAUGGAUCCGCGCUGCAUUAGCUAGUUGGUAAGGUAACGGCUUACCAAGGCAACGAUGCAUAGCCGACCUGAGAGGGGGAUAGGCCACACGGGAACUGAGACACGGUCCAGACUCCUACGGGAGGCAGCAGUAGGGAAUCUUCCGCAAUGGGCGAAAGCCUGACGGAGCAACGCCGCGUGAGUGAUGAAGGUCUUCGGAUCGUAAAACUCUGUUAUUAGGGAAGAACAUAUGUGUAAGUAACUGUGCACAUCUUGACGGUACCUAAUCAGAAAGCCACGGCUAACUACGUG